rnacentral:lncRNA from 1 species
UCCCAUCCAAUCAACGCUACCAAAUUCGGGGCAUUGAUGUUUGCAACUUGAGAACUCUGAGUGCGAGCCUACAAACCAAUAUCCAUCAUGUGAAUUAUAAAAAUAAGCCGAAGGGAACAAAAAGUAGAACUGACUGUUCUUUCUUUUGCAGAUGUGUGCAGAAAGAUACGCAGCAACUGAAGAUUUACUGAAGCUUUCU